UGGCAUAUGCUAACUGAUUGAGAUGCAUUUUCUCUGCAUAUUUUGUUAUUGAUGUUGGAUAAAUUGAGAAACUAGACGAAGUUAGGAAAACAAUGGUUCAUCUUCCGAAAUGGAAUUUAACUCUUCACUUGUGCACUGCUUAGGUUGAAACUAUUCCAAGGAUUUAGUGAUUUGUAUGGAGAUGUAUGCAAAGAAGACAAUGGUUCAUGUGUGUAUACUUGGAUCACCCCUCCGGUUGCUACAUGUCCCCAGCAAGGUCGCUAGCAUCGUGAAUGGUUUAAGGACAAACAUGACUGAUCUCAAGUGAAUGGGAGAUUAGCAGGUGUGUGUAAUAACGAAAUAUCUUCUCACUGUCCGCUACCUAAAGAAGGUCACAUCUGGAUAUUACAUUUUUCAGUAGACAGGGAUUCAGUUGCAUUAGUUAUACAUGGUGCUGAGAAGGUUAUUGAAAUUUGCCUGAAUGAAGAUCUUGAUUUAUUUUGUGGAAUUUAAGCACUUGUGGGGCUUGCCAAACAUUUAACCAUCCAAUCCAAGUUGCAUCUUCUUCGACCAGGCUAUAUCAACAUUGGGGCAGGGAAAUAGGCUCUUAAGAACUUGAACGGGCUUGGUUUAUUCUCCAACAUAUAGGUGAAUCUGUCCCAUGAUGAAACCAAAGAAGGGGGUGUAUUGGUGGAAGUCAGGCUGAAUGAACUAAGAUCCCAAAUCAGUGGACGUGACCACACAAUGGAACAUUGUUCCAUGACCUGGGGACGACCAACUCUUGUAAUGUGCCUACAUAUUCGCAACCUUUUUAAUCUUUCUAACAUCUGUUUCAAAAAAUGCUGGACAAGUUCAUGAUUAAGCUGUGAAGCUAUCCAUCAUUGUUAUCAAAGCCCUGUUGCUGAACCUGAUGUAUUUAUAUCUGAUGCAUGCUUCUGUGUUUUAAACUCAUAUCUGAACUGAUAUAUGAACUCUAAACUUUUACUGAUGAAUGAACUAAGUUCAUGAUUAAGCUGUGAAGCUAUCCAUCAUUGUAAUCAAAGCCCUGUUGCUGAACCUGAUGUAUUUAUAUCUGAUGCAUGCUUCUGUGUUUUAAACUCAUAUCUGAACUGUUAUUGAUGCAUGAACUCUGAAUUGCAACUUUGCAAGGUUGGUCAGAUAAGAGUGUUGAGACCGCUCACAAGUCUUUACGCGUCCAAAGAUUUAUUAGCAAAACAAUAGCACCCUCUGGCUCACUAUAAUAACCGCUUUUGUUUGAACUCACGAGCUUCAGAAGAUUUAUUAGCAAAACAGCAGUACCCUGUGGCUCACUAUAAUAACUGCUUUUGUUUGAUAUUUGAACUGUUUCAGAAAUGGAUCCAACCUUCUAAGAAGCUGACGAGUAACCCAAUCACAAUUCUUGUGGAUGGCUUCAUAGGGAGAAUAAAUGAAAAAUUAUGGUUUCCCCUCUUUUAUUUGUAUCUUACAGUUCAGUACAAUGACAGCAUUUUGUAUUUCCAUUGUACCAAACCAUGGAGUAAACUUGACCUGGAGAUGAUGGAUGACUCUUGUCUAAAUUUUGUAGUAUUGGAUUUUAGCAGCUCUAGCAGGUCUGUUUAGCUUUAUUCUUUGAGGGUUAAUUUCACUGCUUUUUUUCU